rnacentral:rRNA from 1 species
GUGGGGAAUCUUGCGCAAUGGGCGAAAGCCUGACGCAGCCAUGCCGCGUGAAUGAUGAAGGUCUUAGGAUUGUAAAAUUCUUUCACCGGGGACGAUAAUGACGGUACCCGGAGAAGAAGCCCCGGCUAACUUCGUGCCAGCAGCCGCGGUAAUACGAAGGGGGCUAGCGUUGCUCGGAAUUACUGGGCGUAAAGGGCGCGUAGGCGGACAGCUUAGUCAGAGGUGAAAGCCCAGGGCUCAACCUUGGAAUUGCCUUUGAUACUGGCUGUCUUGAGUUUGGGAGAGGUGAGUGGAACUCCGAGUGUAGAGGUGAAAUUCGUAGAUAUUCGGAAGAACACCAGUGGCGAAGGCGACUCACUGGCCCAAUACUGACGCUGAGGCGCGAAAGCGUGGGGAGCAAACAGGAUUAGAUACCCGUGUAGUCC